rnacentral:lncRNA from 1 species
GAGAUCAAAUAACGUUAGGAACUUCUGUCUUAGUUGGAAAGUUUGAAAACCUCAUUGUUCAACAACGUCCAACAAUCCCUGCACAUGAAAUUAAGAGCCUGAAAUUCAGUAUGUUGCAUCAAGGAAACGUUAGAAGAAGAAAAUAAUUUCGUUUCAAUUUCAAAGAAUCCAAGUGUAAAUUUCGUUCAUAUUUCGCAGAAGCAGAAGCUUCAUUUCGUUCAAAUAAUUCAAGGAACAGGUAUGUUGAGGUCAUCCCUUCUUUAUUUUGGCACGGUCUGAAUUAUACAGAAGAAAUGAGCAAAUGCAUAGUUUCUAUAAAUUACUCUAUUCGUAAAGAUAUAAGAAGUGUCUAUAUUCUUGAUUCCCCAUAAAAAAUUUUAUUAUCUUCUAUUCAUGGGUCUCAGAAUAAUAUGCAGUUGAAAACGUUUAUCUAAAAGGAAUAUUGGGAUUAUUAAGUAUUUUUCAUGCAUUUCACUCAUUUAUACAUAUGCAUUGACCCAUGACUAGAUGACGUUAAUAUAUGUAUAUGGGAUAUGGGAAAAUGUUAUGGCGUUAUAUUCGUACCACCACCUGAUCAGCUGGUAUAUGUUGAUGAUGUUGCCUACAAUGGCCGAGACGAUAUGAUGGGAUGCCCUCAGUGGCUUGAUGAUAUUAUGUACACCCAUACUUAUGCAUGACAUGACAGUUAUACGCAUGUGUAUGACAUUAUAAACGUUUUUGAAUUUACAAGGUUAUUCAGAUUCAAAGACGUGUUUCUAUAUUUCAUGUUUCAUCUAUGUAUAUUACGUACUAAUUUUCAUUCCUUACAUACUCAGUACAUUUUUCGUACUGGCGCCCUAUUUCACGAGGCCUGCAUUUCAUGCCCGCAGGUGCUGGUAGGCAAGAUGACGGUCCCCCUCCUUAGGAUCCCUGAUCAGCGAGAGUUGGCGUGCUCCAUUUGAUUCGGAGCUGCUUUUGAUUUUGCUACGAUACAUUUGUGUG